rnacentral:rRNA from 1 species
ACCUGCGGAAGGAUCAUUACAAGUGAGGCCGCCGAACACCGGUCAAAUGGUGGGCAGGCGGUUUACACCCACCCGUGUCUACAUACUCUUGUUGCUUUGGCGGGCCGUGGCCUCCACUGCGGGCUCUGCUCGUGUGUGCCCGCCGGAGGACCAAACUCUGAAUGUUAGUGAUGUCUGAGUACUAUUUAAUAGUUAAAACUUUCAACAACGGAUCUCUUGGUUCUGGCAUCGAUGAAGAACGCAGCGAAAUGCGAUAAGUAAUGUGAAUUGCAGAAUUCAGUGAAUCAUCGAAUCUUUGAACGCACAUUGCGCCCUGUGGUAUUCCGUAGGGCAUGCCUGUUCGAGCGUCAUUUAACCACUCACGCCUGGCGUGGUAUUGGGGCACGCGGUCUCGCGGUCCUUAAAAGCAGUGGCGGCGCCGGUGGGCUCUAAGCGUAGUACAUACUCCCGCUAUAGAGUUUCCUCCGGUGGCUCGCCAGAACCCCCAAAUUUUUACCGGUUGACCUCGGAUCAGGUAGGGAUACCCGCUGAACUUAAGCAUAUCAAUA